rnacentral:lncRNA from 1 species
GUCUUUUUGCCUUUUCUAGGGCCGCUUCCCGCGGCACAUGGAGGCUCCCAGGCUAGGGGUCGAAUUGGAGCUGCAGCCACAGGCCUACACCAGAGCCACAGCAACAUGGGAUCCGAGCCGCGUCUGCAACCUACACCACAGCUCACGGCAACACUACAGCUCACGGCAACGCCGGAUCGUUAACCCACUGAGCAAGGCCAGGGAUCGAACCCGCAACCUCAUGGUUCCUAGUCGGAUUCGUUAACCACUGAGCCACGACGGUAACUCCUGCCUUGGAUGAGCUGUAGGCUCUGGGAACCAGGCUCCUGGAGUUUCCACUGGUGGCACGCAGCCCCCACAGGGCACCUAACUCACUGAGCUGCCUCUCCUCUGCGGUGGUCUCGCCCGAGGCUGUGGCCAUGCUCCUUGCUCUGUGCACCACACAGACAGCAGGGAUCAAUCUGUAAACUGACUGGUAAAUCCAAGCAUGUGCUUCUGAGCAGGGCUAGUUUCCCUGGAGCAUGACCCAUGCGGUCACACAGAGCCCAGUGCUCAGGGAGCCUGGACUUGGUUUAACGGGCUGCUGCCAUCAUCUUGAAAUCCCCAGUCAUUUGAAGUCCAAGGGGACAAUGGACCGUGUGCGUGAGCAGAUUCGUACAUCACUCGGGUCUGCCAUUCCUCGUCAUGCCAUUUGCACUGGAUGGUCACGGUGUCCACGAACACAGAGUUGCACCCACAAUGCAGAGGAAUUCAGCAAGAUGCAAAAAGGUACCAGUGCUGGAUCUGCAACCGAGCGACAGCCUCUGAGACACCAUGCUUUCUGUUUGAACCGCAUACUUGAUUCCAACUCAGAAGGAAGGCAGUGGCGUUAGAAGAAACACAGACCCACAAGGACCCAUAUCAUGUCCUUUUACACGAAACUUACUUCCCUACAUUUACUUCUGCUGAAAAUCAUGACAAAGAUGGGAAGGAAAAGAUAGGGGAACACAUAGCUCCUUUUUCUUGGUCCUUACUCAUGCAGAAGCUGAAGGGAGAGAGUGCUCAUGGAAUGUGCAAUA